rnacentral:rRNA from 1 species
UACGUAGGGCGCAAGCGUUGUCCGGAAUUAUUGGGCGUAAAGAGCUCGUAGGCGGUUUGUCGCGUCUGCUGUGAAAACCUCAGGCUCAACCUGGGGCUUGCAGUGGGUACGGGCAGACUAGAGUGCGGUAGGGGGUGACUGGAAUUCCUGGUGUAGCGGUGGAAUGCGCAGAUAUCAGGAGGAACACCGAGUGGCGAAGGCAGGUCUCUGGGCCGGAUACUGACGCUGGAGGAGCGAAAGCGUGGGGAGCGAACAGG